GGGUAUCUAGGUUUAAUUUCUCUGCAAAUAACAUUCUUUCUGGCUUUCUAAAUUCAAAACUCAAAAGCAGAAAAAAAGAAAGAAUGGGGAAAACUAGAAUCUUAUCGGCAUUCUUCGCAUCCUUUGCAUUGAUGGCGCCUGCAUUUGCGGUUGAUUAUUAUGUCCGGAAGAAUCAGGAUCUCAAUUUUUCAAACCCUAAUUCUUCUUCUUCGCCUUCAAUUCUUCACUCUGGUAUUUUUUUUUUUCUUCUUUCUUAUUAUUAUAUUUUAGAUUAAAGGUGUUUUCAAUUUCUUAUACUUUCACUCAAUUCUCAUUGUUAUGAUCUCUUUCGGUGAAUCUUUUCCAAAGAGUUAUAGCAUAUUUAAGUUGAUUAUUAUACCUUUGAGCAGUGAAUGAUUUCAGAUUCAAUUGCUUUUGAUUGUUUUGAAGACUUCUCAGAAAAAAAUGUUUGUUUCUAUUUUCCAGGUGCAUUUUCUUGGGCAGACUUGAUAGAUAUCAUUGUGAGCUGAAUCAAUCUUCAAUUUCUUUUUCCUUCUUUUGUUUUCUGUUUUCAUCCAAGAUUUGCCUUUUUCUUUUAGGAAUAUACGUUUUCAUGUUAUCGAAUAAUAUUAUAUCAUGUUUUAGUUUUUAAUCUCAUUAUAUGGAAU
rnacentral:lncRNA from 1 species